rnacentral:rRNA from 1 species
GACGAACGCUGGCGGCGUGCUUAACACAUGCAAGUCGAACGGUGAAGCGAGUGCUUGCACUCGUGGAUCAGUGGCGAACGGGUGAGUAACACGUGAGUAACCUGCCCAUCACUCUGGGAUAAGCACUGGAAACGGUGUCUAAUACUGGAUACGACCAACCCUUGCAUGGGGUGUUGGUGGAAAGAUUUAUCGGUGAUGGAUGGACUCGCGGCCUAUCAGCUUGUUGGCGGGGUAAUGGCCCGCCAAGGCGACGACGGGUAGCCGGCCUGAGAGGGUGACCGGCCACACUGGGACUGAGACACGGCCCAGACUCCUACGGGAGGCAGCAGUGGGGAAUAUUGCACAAUGGGCGAAAGCCUGAUGCAGCGACGCCGCGUGAGGGAUGACGGCCUUCGGGUUGUAAACCUCUUUCAGCAGGGAAGAAGCGAAAGUGACGGUACCUGCAGAAGAAGCACCGGCUAACUACGUG